CCGCGUGAGUGAUGAAGGCCCUAGGGUUGUAAAGCUCUUUUGUGCGGGAAGAUAAUGACGGUACCGCAAGAAUAAGCCCCGGCUAACUUCGUGC
rnacentral:rRNA from 1 species